ACCACUCAUAUGAUCCCAUCUAAAAAAUAAUAUUAAUAAUACACAUAACUUGUGGCUCCAUAUUGAUGGGCUAUAUGCAUUUGUAAUAUGUAAUAGCCAUAUUGCACGAAUUCAGCUUAUGAGACAAAAGUAUAAUGUGCUCAACUAUUUGGAUAGUAAGGCACACUUCUAGCGCACUGGAAGUACGUCACUUUUCGCAGCAAAACAACGUUUUCAACACGGGUUCCUAAAUGACUGUGGUGGCAGCCUGCAUCACAUAGAAGAUGAACACGGGUGAUUGGGGGAAACAGAUUGAAGAAGGUGGAACAACUAGCUCAGUCCUUCCAGCAGUGUCCUUUGUCCUCUCGCUUCAAACCAAGCAGGCAGCCAUCCUCCAUAUGGAAGCUCUUCCCCCGUCAAUGUAUGGCUAUCAACUUUGCCCAGAGAGCUAACUGUAGUUUUGACUGCCCUCUAAUUCAAAGGACGUGCACGUGUUUGCACUUGAGAAGGAACAGGCCAAGAUGGAUGGGAAGAUCUUCCUGGUCAUCAGUUACAGUGAGCUAUGGCAUUACUACAGCGCAAGGGGACCAAAGACACUGUCACAGUAGACAAGGGAGGGCACAACCGUCAAUCAUCACAUCCGAGGAGCAUUACAUUCAAGUGGAGCGGGCUAUGGUUUCCAGAUGAUCGUCACCCUCUGCUUCCCUUUCCCCUCUACCGGGGGGUUCACAUCUUGAUCGUCGCAUAGAGCAGGUCAAUCUGCUCCCGGAAGUGACUGCGAAGGUCGGUCCUCUUGGCCUUGAGCGUGGGCGUCAGGAGGCCGUUCUGGACGGAGAACAUCUCCGUGUGCAGCGAGAUAUCUCUCACCUGCACGGGACAGAGAGCAUGUUAUUCAUUAUUCCGCUUAUUAUGCAUUUAGCGUUUAUUUAACAAGCCGAGUCCCAUUGAGAUGCAAAUGUAGUUUUUUUUUUUAAAUCCAAGAGUACUCUGGGCUAGAGGCAGCAUUAUAAUCAUGCACAUUUUGGCACCAACAUCGCUUGUGAGUGUUAUCUUGUUUAAAUGGUGCCUAAAGGAGUGUGUGGAGUAUUAGGAAGGAUGCCUUACCUGCUCAAAAGACUUCAGCCCACCUUCUUUCCCCAGCCUCAGAAUGUCCUCCAGAAUGGCAUUUUUCAACUCCUGGAAAGACAGGCACUUUAGACAAGGCAGUGUAGACAAUCUUAAUGGCUGUACUUUAAAGGGAUAGUUCACUCAAACUAUCUUGUAGUAUUUUGUUCGUUAGUCUAUUGUUAAUACAAUCCCCCCCCCCAAAAAAUUUUUUUGCAUGUCAGGGGUCACAUUUUCUUGGACACGUUCAGUACAAACAAAAACUGUGAUGAGUGUUUGAGAUGAGAUUGGCCUUGUUCCGAUAUCCACGCUAGCAUGCCCAAUACAUUGCUUUAUUCUAAGGCUUUACACUCCAAAUCAAAUCAAGUUGUAUGUCACAUGCGCCAAAUACAACAGGUGUAGACCUUACCGUGAAACGCUUACUUACAAGCCCUUAACCAACAAUGCUGUUCAAGAAAUAGAGUUAAAAAAAGAUUUACUACAUAAACUAAAGAAAUAAAAUAAGUAACAAUAAUGAGGCUAUAUACAGGUUACCGGUACCGAGUCAGU